rnacentral:misc_RNA from 1 species
GAAGUGCGAUAAGCAAUGCGAAUUGCAGAAUUCCGCGAAUCAUCAGAUCUUUGAACGCAAAUGGCGCCAGAGGGAUAUCCUUCUGGCAUGUCUGUUUCAGUGUCUGAGAGGUUUCACCAUUAUCUUAAUGUGAUUGAUGAAUGAGUUGCUCCUAGAGUAGCUUAACCUCAUCUCUCAUGAAAGAUGCUAGGGUGGAUCUUUUGGUCCAAUGAAGUGGUCACAUCACUCGCAUGUGAUUUCAUUGGGAUCGCCAAAUUAUCCGCAUGCUCGAGGUACACUCUCUCUUGUGUAGCAGUAGCAAUACUAAUACCAAGACACUGCACACCCUGCAUCUGAGACAGGCAAGAUCACCCGCUGAACUUAA